AGGGAUAUAGGUCAGUGAUAGAGCACAUGCUUAGCAUGUAUGAAGUCCUGGGUUCAAUCCUCAGUACUUUUU
rnacentral:tRNA from 1 species